rnacentral:lncRNA from 1 species
GAGACAAUCUGUGAUGGGCGCCGUCAAGUGGGCGAAGUUCUUGAUGAACUUCCUGUAGAAGUUGCUGAACCCUAGGAACCUCUGCACAUCCUUCCGGGUUUUGGGGGCCUUCCAUUCCAGCACUGCCUGCACCUUGCUUGGGUCCAUAGCUAGUCCCUUGUCUGACAACUUGUACCCCAGAAACUCGACCUCUCUGGUGUGAAAUUGGCAUUUUUCCAGCUUGACCCACAACUGGUGCUUCUGCAGCCUCUUUAGUACUUCCCUGACGUCUCUGACAUGUUGCUUCUCAUUGUCUGAAUAGAUUAAGACGUCGUCCAAGAAGGCUACGCAGUUCUUGUACAGCAGGGGCCCCAACACGUGGUGCAUGAAUGCUUGAAAGCAGGCGGAGCCCGAUUGUAAUCCAAAUGGCAUGACUAAGUACUCAAAAGCCCCCAGGGGGGUGAACAUGGUGGUUUUCCAUUCGUCCCCCUCCCUUACCCUGAUCAAAUUGUACGCUCCCCUGAGGUCCAGCUUGGUAAAAAUUUUCCCCUGCCUCACCCGUGUUAAAAUGUCGUCAAUCCUGGGCAUUGGGAAGGUCACGGGUUCUGAUACCAGGUUUAACGCCCUAUAAUCUACGACUAAUCUGGGCUGAUUAGUCCCUUUUUUGUCCACAAAGAACACCGGACUGCCCCCCACCGCCUUUGAUUCCCUUAUGAACCCCCUCUUCAGGUUCUUGUCAAUAAACUGCCGUAACUCCUGCAUCUCCCGGUCCGACAUGGCAUACAGCUUACCCACAGGCAGCUGAGCCCCUGGGAUUAAGUUGAUUUGGCAGUCAAAGGGCCUAUGGGGGUAGUCUGUCCGCCUCCUUCUCGCUGAAGACUUCCUUUAGGUCAGCGUAUGGUGGUGGCACCUCUCCCUUUGUUUCCACCGCCAGCCCAGCCACCCUGGCCACUGUCAUUCUUGGGGUUCCCCCCCCCCCAGACAGUGUUCCAAACAGUAAGCUGACCCAAAGGUGACUGACCGCUGAUGCCAUGACACUACUGGAUCAUGCAGUGCCAGCCAGCUCAUUCCCAGUAUUAUUGGGGUCCUGCCAGUGUGGCCACGUGAAAGGCAAUGGUCUCCGUGUGCCUGGAAACCCUCAUUCGCAUUGGCGGGGUCUGGUGUGUCACUUCCCCUCCCAGAAGUUCCCUGCCAUCGAUGGUGGUCACUUGCAAGGGAAAAUCCAGGGGUAGCAAGUGUAUUUGGUGCUCCAAAGCGAAGUCCCUGCUGAAGAAAUUGCAGGAGCUGCCCGAAUCCAGCAGCCCCUCAACCUUGACUGGGUGCCCAUUCGGGAGUUCUAGCACCACUGCUAUGGCUAUCGCUGCCCUGGGGGUCAGGCUGGGGCACUUCUAUUGGUUGCUGGCCUGGCUGCUGGCCCCUCUGGUUGGCAGCCAGGCGUUGUCGUUUCCCUGCGCCUGCCCUUCCUCCCCCUUCUCCUCACAGCCAGCAGCCCCCACCAUCCCUUGCCAGGCCUUUCUUUGAGGGCAGACCCUUGCAAAAUGUCCCGGCCGUUGGCAGAGGAAACACUUCUUGGUGGUUUUCCAAUCCUUCCCCUCCCUCUUGCGACCUUCACUGGAGUUUGAAACCUCUCGCGCGCGCGCACCAUCUAUUUCCAUUGGCUCAGCCGCCUGGGAAAGCUGUCUCGGUAUUUCAGGAAUGCGGUAGUCAUGGCAACGUUCCCCUCUCACUUCGCGUUUCUCCUGAGCCCGCGCUUCCUGCCUCACUCCAAUCGCAAGCACAGCCUUGGUCAGCUGAUCCAUCGACUGUGGGCGGGGCGCGCGGGACAGCUCGUCCUUCACCGUUGGGGACAACCCCUCCUCAAACAACAUUUGAAUAGGUUCAGAGUCCAGAUCCCACCCGAGACGGUGGAUCAACAUGGCAAAGCGCGACCAGUAGUCUCUAACCGACUGGCUCCCUGCUUGCACCCCAUCAGUUCUCGCCGAGUCACACUUUGCUGGACUUCACUGGAAUACAUCGCAUCCAUCGCCUGAAAGAAUUUCUUAAGGUCCUUCAAGGCAUGAUUUUGCGUCGCCAUAAGGGGCCUGAUCCAUUCUCUUGCCCCAUCCUCCAGAUGCCCCACAAUGUAGGCUACCCUUUGCUCAUCGUUAGCAAAGUCAUCAUGCUGCAGUUCCAAAGCGUACUCUAUUUCCGUUCGGAACGCAUUGUAGUCCUGGGGUUUCCCCCCAAACUUGUGUACCAGCCCCGGUACCUUCCUUGCGAUGGGGGUGGGUCUGACCUGAGCAUCCUGAGCUCGUCUUUCGUCCAGCCGCGCCGUCAGGAGAGCUACAUGCUGUUCCAAGUCUCGGUUUCUCUCUACCAGACCUUGCACUGCAGCUGCUUGCUCCGUCUCUCCGGCUCCUCUGGUCUGGCUCAUGGUGCUGCCUCUCUGGAGCUGCGCACAAGCAACGUCGGUGACUGACGGAUUGCUGUAAUGGAUUUAGGGGUUGCUCGUGCGUAAGUUGCCGCCACUGCUGGCGAGGUUACCUGGUUAAACCCUUUCUGACUGAACAGCCUCCAGCAUCGUGACUGUCUCAGUCGCUGGCAGAAUCCGUCAGUGGGCGUUUCUUGAACCUUUUCCAGCAUAAAAGUUGUUUGACGCCAAGUCUCCUCCUACUCUCCCUGCGCGGAAGUCUUCUGCGCAGGGAGGGUGUGGGCAGCGGAGUACCCGUACUCUCUCCGCUGGUCUCCGGCGAGGAGUCUUGGAGCCUCCUCUCCGAUUCCCCAAUCUGCCCACUUCUCCACUGGUGUUACGCUGAUUUCCUUCCCCAGCAGAUGGGCUGCCUCUCUCCCUACUGGGACCCUCUCCUGCAUCCCUCUGGAGCCUUCCCUCCGCCUCUAGCUCCGAUGGCAGUUCCCUGACAU